CAAUAGCGUAUAUUUAAGUUGCUGCAGUUAAAAAGCUCGUAGUUGGAUUUCGGGUGGGAAUGGCCGGUCCGCCGUUUCGGUGUGCACUUGCUACGCCCACCUUGCUGCCGGGGACGUGCUCUUGAGUUCACGCUCGGGACACGGAGUCGGCGAGGUUACUUUGAGUAAAUUAGAGUGUUCAAAGCAGGCCUACGCUCUGAAUACAUUAGCAUGGAAUAACACGAUAGGACUCUGGCCUAUCUUGUUGGUCUGUAGGACCGGAGUAAUGAUUAAGAGGGACAGUCGGGGGCAUUCGUAUUUCAUUGUCAGAGGUGAAAUUCUUGGAUUUAUGAAAGACGAACUACUGCGAAAGCAUUUGCCAAGGAUGAUUUCAUUAA
rnacentral:rRNA from 1 species